rnacentral:rRNA from 1 species
AUGAAGGUCAGGCUCCAGGUGCGGCGCAUGUGGGAGGCAGUCCAGGACAGCAACGUCGACCACCUAGAGGAUCGACGGGCGCUGGACGCCCUCAUCGCCGCAGUCCCGCCCGAGAUGCAGUUCUCGCUUUCCAACAAGCGGACUGCCAAGGAGGCUUGGGACGCCAUCGCCGCAGCACGCAUCGGCAGCGACCGUGCUCGCAAGUCCACCCUGCAGGCACUUCGUAAGGAGUGGGAGAACCUGGGCUUCAAGCCAGGUGAGGACGUUGAUGACUUUGCUCUCCGUCUCAACACUCUGUUGCAGAAGAUGGUGAAGUUUGGCGAUGCCACCUACACCGAGGAGAGAGCUGUCGAGAAGCUUUUUCGGUGCAUUCCCGAGAAGUACAAGCAGAUGGCUCGCUCGAUCGAGUCGUUGCUGGACCUCUCCACGAUGACGAUCGAGGAGGCGAUAGGUCGACUCAAGGUCGUCGACACCGACGAGCCACAGCCCCCCUCGGGGCCCGUCACCACCGGCGGGAAGCUGCUCCUAACUCGGGAGCAGUGGGAUCCCAGCCUUGGUGACAAGAAGAAGGGGGAGCCUUCCUCCUCGACGGGCGGCCGCAAGCGUGGCAAGCAGCGUAAGGCGCGAAGAGGCCCCCCGGGCAGGGCACAAGGACGUGCCGAAGGUGACGCCCGCGGAGGCGCCAAGGACGGCGCCGCUGGCAAGCCCAGGCCGGCACAAGACAACAGUUGCCACAACUGUGGCCGGUUUGGCCAUUGGGCCAAUGAGUGUCGGCAACCACGACAAGGCCAGGCUCACGUCGCACAGGCGAAGGAGGAGGAGACGGCUCUGUUCAUGGCGCAUGCAAGCAUUGAGCUACCCUCGGCGACUCCAGUCGCAAAGGCUUUCAUCCACCUCGAUGAGCCAAAAGCACAUGCUCUUCUCAGCGAUGGCUCCGGGAAGGACAAGGCUACGGGGUGGUGCCUCGACACCGGCGCCACCCACCACAUGACCGGUCGAAGGGAAUUCUUCGCCGAGCUCGACUCCGAUGCGCGAGGCUCCGUCAAGUUCGGGGAUGCCUCCGCUGUGGAGAUAAAGGGCGUCGGCUCCGUCAUCUUCACCACCAAGUCAGCUUGGGACAGCUGGAUGAGAACGGCUCACGCGUGCUGGUGCCCAGAGGUGAAAAUCGACUCUACGUCCUUGAUGUGCAGGUGGCACAACCGGUCUGUCUCGCUGUCCGUCGAGACGACGAGGCGUGGCAGUGGCAUGAGCGCUUUGGGCACCUUCACUUUGAGGCCCUGA